rnacentral:lncRNA from 1 species
CCUCUUGAGCUCUUGUGGUGACCUGGGAAUCAAUGUGUGAGGUGGUGCUAUGUAGCAGGAACCCCUCUUGCUUUGCAAAUAGUUUUUUGUUUGUUUUCCUUUUUGCCCAAUAGAGCCCUGCUCUACUGACCCUUCAAUGUGCCCGUGUGCCUAAAUAUUCCUGGUCGUGUGAAAAGAACCCAGGUAUUAGCUGAACUAAGGAGCACAAUUCUGCAACAUUUUGGCACCCAAACACGGGGCUUGAGAAAUGAAUGCAAUUGGAGAAACUGGUUGUUUUACCAGGCGUUGAUUGGAAAUGUGUGCUUCCCUUUAAGCAGUCAAGCUCAACUUGCAGAACUGAUGGGAACCCCUUGGGAAAACUGGCCUCAAAUGUUUGUCUACACAGUCCACAUACAGGGUUCUUAACCUGCGUGGACUGGAGCCCAAAAUGCACACUGGAGGAAGUGGAUGGAGCCACGUGGAUGUCAUGCCUUAUGCAGGGGAGGAGCCUGCUCUCUUCAGCUCCUGUGGUAAUGUGGGAAUCGAUCUGUGAGGAAACACUUUCUGAAAAUGUCAGAACUCUUGAAAACAUGGAUGAGGAAAAGCAUAAGUACUGCUUUAUGCUUUUCUUAUGAAUUUUAAAAGAUGUAAUUUAAAGGUACUUUAAAGUGAUAUUUGUGCCCUUGUAACUGAUUCAAAGUAGACUGCUAAGGACAAUAAGUAAUAAGAGUCUACAAAUAUCAGUAAAUUAUGAGAAAAAACGGUCUAAUGGUACUUAAAAUUGCAUUGUGAUUUAUUAAAUAACAUUGAACAGC